rnacentral:rRNA from 1 species
UACGUAUGGUGCAAGCGUUAUCCGGAUUUACUGGGUGUAAAGGGUGCGUAGGCGGUAAGGCAAGUCAGAAGUGAAAACCUGGGGCUCAACCCCGGGACUGCUUUUGAAACUGUCUAACUAGAGUAUGGGAGAGGAAAGCGGAAUUCCUAGUGUAGCGGUGAAAUGCGUAGAUAUUAGGAGGAACACCAGUGGCGAAGGCGGCUUUCUGGACCAAAACUGACGCUGAGGCACGAAAGCGUGGGGAG